AGAGUUUGAUCCUGGCUCAGGAUGAACGCUAGCUACAGGCUUAACACAUGCAAGUCGAGGGGCAGCAUGGUCUUAGCUUGCUAAGGCCGAUGGCGACCGGCGCACGGGUGAGUAACACGUAUCCAACCUGCCGUCUACUCUUGGACAGCCUUCUGAAAGGAAGAUUAAUACAAGAUGGCAUCAUGAGUCCGCAUGUUCACAUGAUUAAAGGUAUUCCGGUAGACGAUAGGGAUGCGUUCCAUUAGAUAGUAGGCGGGGUAACGGCCCACCUAGUCUUCGAUGGAUAGGGGUUCUGAGAGGAAGGUCCCCCACAUUGGAACUGAGACACGGUCCAAACUCCUACGGGAGGCAGCAGUGAGGAAUAUUGGUCAAUGGGCGAGAGCCUGAACCAGCCAAGUAGCGUGAAGGAUGACUGCCCUAUGGGUUGUAAACUUCUUUUAUAAAGGAAUAAAGUCGGGUAUGCAUACCCGUUUGCAUGUACUUUAUGAAUAAGGAUCGGCUAACUCCGUGCCAGCAGCCGCGGUAAUACGGAGGAUCCGAGCGUUAUCCGGAUUUAUUGGGUUUAAAGGGAGCGUAGAUGGAUGUUUAAGUCAGUUGUGAAAGUUUGCGGCUCAACCGUAAAAUUGCAGUUGAUACUGGAUAUCUUGAGUGCAGUUGAGGCAGGCGGAAUUCGUGGUGUAGCGGUGAAAUGCUUAGAUAUCACGAAGAACUCCGAUUGCGAAGGCAGCCUGCUAAGCUGCAACUGACAUUGAGGCUCGAAAGUGUGGGUAUCAAACAGGAUUAGAUACCCUGGUAGUCCACACGGUAAACGAUGAAUACUCGCUGUUUGCGAUAUACAGCAAGCGGCCAAGCGAAAGCGUUAAGUAUUCCACCUGGGGAGUACGCCGGCAACGGUGAAACUCAAAGGAAUUGACGGGGGCCCGCACAAGCGGAGGAACAUGUGGUUUAAUUCGAUGAUACGCGAGGAACCUUACCCGGGCUUAAAUUGCAGAUGAAUUACGGUGAAAGCCGUAAGCCGCAAGGCAUCUGUGAAGGUGCUGCAUGGUUGUCGUCAGCUCGUGCCGUGAGGUGUCGGCUUAAGUGCCAUAACGAGCGCAACCCUUGUUGUCAGUUACUAACAGGUCAUGCUGAGGACUCUGACAAGACUGCCAUCGUAAGAUGUGAGGAAGGUGGGGAUGACGUCAAAUCAGCACGGCCCUUACGUCCGGGGCUACACACGUGUUACAAUGGGGGGUACAGAGGGCCGCUACCACGCGAGUGGAUGCCAAUCCCCAAAACCUCUCUCAGUUCGGACUGGAGUCUGCAACCCGACUCCACGAAGCUGGAUUCGCUAGUAAUCGCGCAUCAGCCACGGCGCGGUGAAUACGUUCCCGGGCCUUGUACACACCGCCCGUCAAGCCAUGGGAGCCGGGGGUACCUGAAGUGCGUAACCGCGAGGAGCGCCCUAGGGUAAAACUGGUGACUGGGGCUAAGUCGUAACAAGGUA
rnacentral:rRNA from 1 species